rnacentral:rRNA from 1 species
CGGGAUUGCCUUAGUAGCGGCGAGUGAAGCGGCAAGAGCUCAAAUUUGAAAUCUAGCGCCUUCGGUGCUCGAGUUGUAAUUUGUAGAGUGGAUCCUUGGGGCCGUUCCUUGCCUAUGUUCCUUGGAACAGGACGUCAUGGAGGGUGAGAACCCCGUGUGGCGAGGGGUGCGGUUCCGUGUAAGGGCUGCUCGAAGAGUCGAGUUGUUUGGGAAUGCAGCUCUAAGUGGGUGGUAAAUUCCAUCUAAAGCUAAAUACUGGCGAGAGACCGAUAGCGAACAAGUACAGUGAUGGAAAGAUGAAAAGAACUUUGAAAAGAGAGUGAAAAAGUACGUGAAAUUGUUGAAAGGGAAGGGCAUUUGAUCAGACAUGGUGUUUUGCGCCCCCUGCUCCUUGUGGGUGGGGGACUCUCGCAGCUCACUGGGCCAGCAUCAGUUUUGGCGGCUGGACAAAGCCGGAGGAAUGUGGCUUCCCUCGGGAAGUGUUAUAGCCUACGGGAAUACAGCCAGCUGGGACUGAGGAACGCGACUUUUGUCAAGGAUGCUGGCAUAAUG